GGAGGAAUAUUGGGCAAUGGGGGAAACCCUGACCCAGCAACGCCGCGUGAGGGAAGAAGGCCUUCGGGUUGUAAACCUCUGUGACGGGGGACGAAAGCAAUGACGGUACCCCGAGAGGAAGCCACGGCAAACUACGUGCCAGCAGCCGCGGUAAGACGUAGGUGGCAAGCGUUGUCCGGAAUCACUGGGCGUAAAGGGCGCGUAGGCGGUAUAUCAAGUCAAUUGUGAAAGACCCGGGCUCAACCCGGGAAGUGCAGUUGAAACUGGUAAACUUGAGUGCAGUAGAGGGAAGCGGAAUUCCUGGUGUAGCGGUGAAAUGCGUAGAGAUCAGGAGGAACACCGGUGGCGAAGGCGGCUUUCUGGGCUGCAACUGACGCUGAGGCGCGAAAGCGUGGGGAGCGAACAGG
rnacentral:rRNA from 2 species